rnacentral:lncRNA from 1 species
AUACCUCAUAAUGAUGUUGUUUAUAUAUACAUAAUAUCUCUCUUUGGAUGUUUAUUGCUGUAUGUAUUGUUAUUUAUGCAUCAAACUUGUCAACGCAUGUGCAAAAUAGUGAAAAAUUGAAAUCUGGACUGUAUGAGUCGACCGCAGCAGGGCUAUGGUCGACGCACGCUUAAUAAUUUCUGUAUUUUCUCAAAAAUCAAACAGUAUGCGUCGACGCAUACAGAGGUAUGGUCGACGCAUCGCUCGAAAAUUUUGUUUUUCUGCAGAAAAA